GUUAGUAUCCCGAGCAAGAUCUGAAAGGAAAACUUGGAAGCUUAGAUAUAAAAUAGAUCAUCACGCUACAAAGGUUAUUUCAAAAAGCAGCUUCAUAUAUUCCAAAGAACCAAAAAAGAAGUUCCUGCCAUGUCACGGUAUUUGCUAUUUCUUUUUCUCCUGUCCAAACCCAAGUUCAAUGGAAAUGGACAAUAUCCAGCUAAUGGUCACAGUGACAACACUUGUGCCUUAAGAACUUACUGAUUGAAGUUGUGGUCAUCUGCUGAUAAGCCGGCGAGCGAGAAGCACUCAGACACAAAGGAACCCAUUGAAACGUGUAUAAUUAUAGAUUAAAAAUCCUAAAGUAGAGAGAGAAAAUAAAUACGGAGCCUAGACCAAGAUAUCAGCUCUCUCAAGCAUCUGUCUAAUCGGAUCCUUCCUUCAACACGUCAGGAACAGGAAGACAGAACAGGAACUCUCAGAGCAAAGGGCUGGAAGAGACUUUGCUGACUGUAUAGUCCACCACUUUAAUUUCCAAUGAAGGAAUCUCUGAGCUAAUCAAACAAUCUUCUUGAAGUCUUCAACCACCCUCAGUGCCAGACUAAAGCUACGAUCUCUCAGUGUUCGUUUCACAGCACCACGUCUCUGCCAUCAUCGGAGCUGAUAACCUCACUCAUCAUCCCCAAAUAUUUGUUUGGUAUCCAAUUUAUAUAUAGUCAUCCAGGAAAUCCCACAGACUAAAAUGAUCACAGUGUGCCAAUGUGACAAACCACUAAGGUGUGUCUUUCCUGCCCUAAAACUCAAAUUACUUUUUACUCACAUCAUUUGCUUAUGUCCACAGAAAUUGGCCAAAUGAUUUAAAUAUAUAUUCCACACUCAGAUUUCCCAGAAAAGAAAUCCUACAAAAACCACCAGCAUGAAAUGAAUGAGAAUGGGACGAGUACCUUCCCCAG
rnacentral:lncRNA from 10 species